rnacentral:rRNA from 1 species
GUGGAGCGGUUAGAAGUGAGAAUGCCGGUGUGAGUAGCGAAAGAUAGGUGAGAAUCCUAUCCAUCGAAAGCCUAAGGUUUCCAGGGGAAGGCUCGUCCGCCCUGGGUUAGUCGGGACCUAAGGAGAGACCGAAAGGUGUAUCCGAUGGCCAACAGGUUGAUAUUCCUGUACUAGAGUAUAUAGUGAUGGAGGGACGCAGUAGGCUAA